rnacentral:rRNA from 1 species
UACGAAGGGGGCGAGCGUUGUUCGGAAUCACUGGGCGUAAAGGGCGCGUAGGCGGCCCUCUUAGUCGCGUGUGAAAGCCCCGGGCUCAACCUGGGAACGGCGCGCGAGACGGGGGGGGCUGGAGUUCGGGAGAGGAGCGUGGAAUUCCCAGUGUAGAGGUGAAAUUCGUAGAUAUUGGGAAGAACACCGGUGGCGAAGGCGGGUCUCUG